GCACCCGUAGCGCAGCCUGGCAAAUGGUUACGCUCAUUUGAUACGCAAGACAGCGUGACAUUUGGGCAAAUAGCGCGACUGCCUCCUAAGCAGUAGGUCGAGGGUUCGAAUCCCUCCGGGUGCG
rnacentral:tRNA from 1 species